AUGAUGUGAAACUGCUGCUCUAUAUGCUUGAACUUCUGGUGAGACCUGGGCUCCUUAGCAAAAGCUAUGACACCGUUAUUAUCACAAUGCAGUGCAAUAGCAUCUGAUGGCAUCACAUCUAGCUCCACAACGAACUUCUUGAACCAAAAGAUUUUCUUAGCAGCUUUAGAGGCAACAAUAUACUCAACUUUCAUAGUCGAAUCUGCAAU
rnacentral:lncRNA from 1 species